rnacentral:rRNA from 1 species
GACGAACGCUGGCGGCGUGCCUAAUACAUGCAAGUAGAACGCACAGUUUAUACCGUAGCUUGCUACACCAUAGACUGUGAGUUGCGAACGGGUGAGUAACGCGUAGGUAACCUGCCUGGUAGCGGGGGAUAACUAUUGGAAACGAUAGCUAAUACCGCAUAAUAUUGAUUAUUGCAUGAUAAUUGAUUGAAAGAUGCUAUUGCAUCACUACCAGAUGGACUUGCGUUGUAUUAGCUAGUAGGUGAGGUAACGGCUCACCUAGGCGACGAUACAUAGCCGACCUGAGAGGGUGGUCGGCCGCACUGGGACUGUGACACGGCCCAGACUCCUACGGGAGGCAGCAGUAGGGAAUCUUCGGCAAUGGGCGGAAGUCUGACCGAGCAACGCCGCGUGAGUGAAGAAGGUUUUCGGGUCGUAAAGCUCUGUUGUAAGAGAAGAACGGGUGUGAGAGUGGAAAGUUCACACUGUGACGGUAUCUUACCAGAAAGGAACGGCUAACUACGUG